rnacentral:rRNA from 1 species
GAUGAACGCUGGCGGCGUGCCUAAUACAUGCAAGUCGAGCGAAUGGAUUAAGAGCUUGCUCUUAUGAAGUUAGCGGCGGACGGGUGAGUAACACGUGGGUAACCUGCCCAUAAGACUGGGAUAACUCCGGGAAACCGGGGCUAAUACCGGAUAACAUUUUGAACCGCAUGGUUCGAAACUGAAAGGCGGCUUCGGCUGUCACUUAUGGAUGGACCCGCGUCGCAUUAGCUAGUUGGUGAGGUAACGGCUCACCAAGGCCACGAUGCGUAGCCGACCUGAGCGGGUGCUCGGCCACACUGGGACUGAGACAGGGCCCAGACUCCUACGGGAGGCAGCAGUAGGGAAUCUUCCGCAAUGGACGAAAGUCUGACGGAGCAACGCCGCGUGAGUGAUGAAGGCUUUCGGGUCGUAAAACUCUGUUGUUAGGGAAGAACAAGUGCUAGUUGAAUAAGCUGGCACCUUGACGGUACCUAACCAGAAAGCCACGGCUAACUACGUGCCAGCCGCCGCGGUAA